rnacentral:rRNA from 1 species
UAAUACGAAGGGGGCUAGCGUUGUUCGGAAUUACUGGGCGUAAAGCGCGCGCAGGCGGUUCUUCAAGUCAGAGGUGAAAGCCCAGAGCUCAACUCUGGAAUGGCCUUUGAGACUAGAGAACUAGGGUACGGGAGAGGUGAGUGGAAUUCCGAGUGUAGAGGUGAAAUUCGUAGAUAUUCGGAAGAACACCAGUGGCGAAGGCGGCUCACUGGCCCGUUACCGACGCUCAGGCGCGACAGCGUGGGGAGCAAACAGGAUUAGAUACCCUGGUAGUCCACGCCGUAAACGAUGGAUGCUAGCCGUUGGUAAGCAUGCUUAUCAGUGGCGCAGCUAACGCAUUAAGCGUCCCGCCUGGGGAGUACGGCCGCAAGGUUG